CCGCCUGGCUGAAGACGCAUCCCGUUAGCUCCCUCCUCCCGAGCGUCAUGUGACCUCCAGAUUCUGGACGCAGGCAUUGUGGGAAAGAUUGAGGAAGAGCUGGAGAAAGCUAAGGUGAAGAAGAGCAACAAGAAAGUGCGUGUCACUGUGAAACCUCACCUGCUGUUCCAGCCUCUGGAGCAGCAGCACGGUGUAGUUCCUGACCCCGACGCCGGAGUAUCACCUGUUCGACCGCGUCAUUAACGUCAGGGAGAAUUUCU